CAGCACCCCCGCCUCUCACCUGGGUUGUGGCAGCAGGCUCCUGCUUGGCCUACGGCUUCAGCCUCACCUUCUCAUUAAAAAGGAAAUGAGGUCAAGUCCGGUGACCUCAUGCUGGGCCGCACACAUCUUCUGGCUGCUUUGCAGCCCCUCUUACUAUCUCUGCUGUGUGCAAAACUCAGAAGCCAAAGGGGAUGAAGCUGCCAUCUGUGGGAUUAAGAUCAGAUGUCUUGAUUCGGAUCCUCCAAGCAUAAUGAUGUGUUGUUGCCAUAGCAAUUCUGCUCAAGAGCCCUUUGGACAGAAGUUUGUAUACCUUUGUAACAGGAAUCCCAAGACAUGAGCUUUCAGUAGAACACUCCAACUGUGAAGGGUGCAGAUGUCAGCGUCAAGCCCUCUUUGAAGAAGCCCCUUGUUAAGGACUUUAGAUAUAAUCACCUAAUUAUCUUUCUUUUAAGGCUCCUUUGAAUAAGCCAUCAUCUCUGGGCAACGUAUUAGACUCUUGUAACCCGUCUCUUUCUGUGACACCUGGUUUCUAUGAAACCGUGACAGCUGCUUAGGCUGUGGGCACUUCGCACAAGUACCAGAGCUAAGUGAUUGCACUCUUGAUUGCUAAAGUGCUCUAACUCACUUCAAACCUCUGCUGGCUGCAUUUACAGUAGAGACCAGCAAGGGGGAUUAAUUAUAUUAAAUCUAUGCAGCCUAUCAUUUCUUAGUCUAUUUAUUUUAAUAUAGUGUUCCGUGUGUGGUUAAAAAAAAAAUCCUUGUUUUCAGUUUGAAAGCAACGGGACAUGAAAGAAACAACAAGCACUUAAGACUCUGACAAGACCUUUAGCUUCUCCUCUUUCACUAGCAGGCAUCAGCCAGCGAUCAUUAUUAACAUCUACCAUCAGUUCCAUGUUUGGCUAGAAACCACAGAGGAGGGCUCUGUUAAAUGAAAUUCAAAAUUUGUAAAAUCCUCCUGAGUCGUCUGUAGGGAGCUAAGUGUGGAAGCUGAUGGACCAGCUAGAGAGUGAUUACAAUAAACCAGACCAGGGACGACGGUGGCUUGGCCCGGGGUCAGCCACGGUGGAGUCUGGUCCACAAGGGACCUAGAGAUACUCAAAUCAACCCAAG
rnacentral:lncRNA from 1 species